AAACCAACAGGGAUGCCCUAGUAACGGCGAGUGAAGCGGCAACAGCUCAAAUUUGAAAUCUGGCUUCGGCCCGAGUUGUAAUUUGUAGAGGAUGCUUUGGGCGCGGCGCCAACUGAGUUCCCUGGAACGGGACGCCACAGAGGGUGAGAGCCCCGUAUAGUUGGAUGCCUAGCCUAUGUAAAGCUCCUUCGACGAGUCGAGUAGUUUGGGAAUGCUGCUCAAAAUGGGAGGUAAAUUUCUUCUAAAGCUAAAUACCGGCCAGAGACCGAUAGCGCACAAGUAGAGUGAUCGAAAGAUGAAAAGCACUUUGAAAAGAGGGUUAAAUAGCACGUGAAAUUGUUGAAAGGGAAGCGCUUGUGACCAGACUUGCGCCGGGCAGAUCAUCCGGUGUUCUCACCGGUGCACUCUGCCCGGCUCAGGCCAGCAUCGGUUCUCGUGGGGGGAUAAAGGUCUCGGGAACGUAGCUCUUCCGGGAGUGUUAUAGCCCGGGGCGUAAUGCCCUCGCGGGGACCGAGGUUCGCGCAUCUGCAAGGAUGCUGGCGUAAUGGUCAUCAGCGACCCGUCUUGAAACACGGACCAAGGAGUCAAGGUUUUGCGCGAGUGUUUGGGUGUAAAACCCGCACGCGUAAUGAAAGUGAACGUAGGUGAGAGCUUCGGCGCAUCAUCGACCGAUCCUGAUGUAUUCGGAUGGAUUUGAGUAAGAGCGUUAAGCCUUGGACCCGAAAGAUGGUGAACUAUGCUUGGAUAGGGUGAAGCCAGAGGAAACUCUGGUGGAGGCUCGCAGCGGUUCUGACGUGCAAAUCGAUCGUCAAAUCUGAGCAUGGGGGCGAAAGAC
rnacentral:rRNA from 2 species